rnacentral:rRNA from 1 species
GUAAGGAAUAUUGGUCAAUGGACGCAAGUCUGAACCAGCCAUGCCGCGUGAAGGAUGACGGCCCUAUGGGUUGUAAACUUCUUUUGUACGGGAAUAAACCCAGGUACGUGUACCUGGCUGAAUGUACCGUAAGAAUAAGGAUCGGCUAACUCCGUGCCAGCAGCCGCGGUAAUACGGAGAAUCCAAGCGUUAUCCGGAUUCAUUGGGUUUAAAGGGUGCGUAGGCGGAUUUGUAAGUCAGUGGUGAAAGCCUGCAGCUUAACUGUAGAACUGCCAUUGAUACUAUCUGUCUUGAAUAUUGUGGAGGUAAGCGGAAUAUGUCAUGUAGCGGUGAAAUGCUUAGAUAUGACAUAGAACACCUAUUGCGAAGGCAGCUUACUACGCAUAUAUUGACGCUGAGGCACGAAAGCGUGGGGAUCAAACAGGAUUAGAUACCCUGGUAGUCC